rnacentral:lncRNA from 1 species
GGCAGACACCGGAGACGAUCGGCCGUUGUAGAAAUCCAGCUGCUGGAGUCUGUCUGUUGUAGAAGCUCGUCCGAAAUCCAUCCGCUGUGGAAGUUCAGACGGAGUCCGGUUCUUGUAGAAGGCUGAAAGGAGGCCGCUUGUUGUAGAAGCUCAGUCGAAGAUCAGUUAUCGUGGAAGCUCGGAGUAGUGACCUAGCUAAUGGAGUCUGCCCCGU